rnacentral:rRNA from 1 species
UUUUUAACAUGGCUAUAGAGUAUUUAAGUCAAAACCCGAAUGGAGGUGAACUAUUCCUGCAAAGAUUGAAGUCAGGGGAAACUCUGAUGGAAGAUCGUUGGCGUUAUUGAUGUGCAAAUCAUUUGCUUUAUGUAGGUAUAGGUGCGAAAGACUCAUCGAACCUCCUAAUAGCUGGUUUCCUCCGAAGUUUCCCUCAGGAUAGCUGUAACAUUUUUAAAUAGUUAAGGAUAGUAGAGAAAUGGGUAGAGGUGUAGUGGAACUACGGUUCUGCAACUUAUUUCCAAACUUCGAACGUUCUUGAUAUAAAAAAUUACCUAAUAGGAAUUUUUUAUUUAAAUAUAUGUUAUAAGUGGGCUCUGACCGGUAAGCGGUCAUGGCGAAAAGGGAUGAACCUAACGUAUAAAUAAGGUGCCUAAAUUUACUAACAAUGAAACCAUUAAAAGAGUCCAUGUAUUUAGACAGCGGGUCGGUGCCCCUAAAAGCAGGUAUCCGUUAAUGAGUGUGUUAAAACUCCCCCGCCGAAUACUCUGGCCUUGAAAAUGAAUGGCGCAUAUAGUAAUACCGAUAUUAUACAUUAAAAUUAUUUCAAAAUUUUAAAAGUAGGGGGAUGUGGAUAUCUUAGCGAAUUUUUAAUUGUAAAAUUGAAUUGAAAGAUAUCUAUUACAGAUCCUAAUUGAAGUAGCGAUUAUCCAGGUUAAUCUCCUGGGGGCUGAUGAGGAGUAGGGUUUCUGGGCAACUUAAACGGACCCAGAGUUAGUCGAUCCUAAUCAAAUUAAAUUUAGAGAAAGGGAAUAUGAAUGAUAUUUCAUAACUAAAAUUAAUUUUUAAAUGGUGACAUUUUUUUAAACUUAUUUCCAUCAAUUAAAUACUGUUUAAUAGGGAUUUCUUUCCUAUAUAACUUUUUAAUUAAAACUUAAGAAACAGGUUAACUGGAGAAUAAAGUUUUAAUUUAGUAAAAUUAUAAUUUCGAUUAUAAUAACGGCUAUUUAAAUGAUCCAUGAAACAAUAAGUUUAUUUUUUCAAAAAUUAAUUUAAUCGUACCGAUAACCGCAUCAGGUCUCCAAGGUGAGUAGCUUCUGGCCAUUGAGUAAUGGUAAUUUAGGGAAUUCGGCCAAUUAGAGCUGUAACUUCGGGAUAAAGCUUGGCUCUGAUGGAAAUCAGAACCGAUAGUUACAAGGAGAGCCCAACUGUUUAAUAAAAACUUAGUGUCGCGUCAUACCUUUAUAAGUAAUAAACGUGACAUGAAUCCUGCUCAGUGCUGUGUUUGUUAAACUGGAUUAAUCCAUUUAAGCGCCGGUAAAUAGCUGGGGUAACUAUGACUCUUAUCAAAGUAGCGAAAUACCUCGUCACUUAAUUAGUGACCUGCAUGAACGGAGCUAUGAGGUUCUCACUGUCCCAAAUUAUCACUCAGCGAACCAACAGUUGUGGGAACGGGCACAAAUUAUCCAGCGGGGAAAGAAGACCCUGUAGAGCUUCACUUUGGUCUAAUCUUGUAUAGUUUCGUUAGGGGUGCAGUCUAGGUGGGAGAUUUUUAAUCAAAUAUGAGAAACCACUACCCUUUCUGGAAUUAUACUUACUAAAAUUCUUUUCUAAAUUUUAGGAUCGGAUUAGAUAGAAAGUUUGGCUGGGGCGGCACACCUUCGAAAAAGCAGCGAAGGUGUCCUAAGUUAAGCUCAGUAAGGACAGAAAUCUUACGUUGAGGAUAAGGCCAAAAGCUUAAUUUACUGUGCCUUUUUGUACUAGGAUCAGUUUGGAAACAAAGGCCUAACGAUCCCUAAUUAGUCUUAGGUGUGUAAGACUUGGGGUGACAGACAAGUUACCUCCGGGACAACUGGCUUGUGGCUGCUAAGAGAUCAAAUCAACGCAGCUUUUUGAUUCUUCGAUGUCGGCUCUUCCUAUCCUAGUGAUGUACAAGUCACUAAGGGUUGGAUUGUUCACCCGUAUUAGGGAUCGUGAGCUGGGUUUAGACCGUCGUGAGCCAGGUUUGUUUUAUCCUACUGGAUAUAAUUUAGCAUCUUGAUAGUAGUUUGAUUUAGUACGAGAGGAACUGUUGAAUAUGGUCUCUGGUUUGGGAAUUUUAUGAAAAUAAAAGUUCCAAAGCUACGCCGUCUGAGAUAAUGGCUGAAGGCCUCUUAAGCCAGAAACUCAUCUAAAAAUAGAUGCUUUAAACUAUUUAAAAGAAUUAAAUUUAAAAUAUUUUUUUUAUUAAAAUUUGU